rnacentral:rRNA from 1 species
GGACUGAGACACUGCCCAGACUCCUACGGGAGGCUGCAGCGACGAAUAUUGCACAAUGGGCGAAAGCCUGAUGCAGCGACGCCGCGUGUGGGAGGAAGCCCUUCGGGGUGUAAACCACUGUCAGGGACUAACAAGCGACCGAGACGAAUAGUCUCGGAAGUUGAGUAAUCCCAGAGGAAGUCACGGCUAACUUCGUGCCAGCAGCCGCGGUAAGACGAAGGUGGCAAGCGUUGUUCGGAAUCACUGGGCUUAAAGAGCAUGUAGGCGGACUGCCAAGCACUUUGUGAAAUCCCUCGGCUCAACCGAGGAAUUGCUUGGUGAACUGGUAGUCUUGAGGCAGGUAGGGGCACCACGGAACUCUUGGUGGAGCGGUGGAAUGCGUAGAUAUCAAGAGGAACGCCAGAGGCGAAGGCGGUGUGCUGGGCCUGACCUGACGCUGAGAUGCGAAAGCCAGGGGAGCGAACGGGAUUAGAUACCCCGGUAGUCCUGGCCCUAAACGAUGUCCACUAGGUCUGAGGUGUUCUGACACACCUCUGGCCGAAACAAAAGCGUUAAGUGGACCGCCUGGGGACUACGGUCGCAAGGCUAAAACUCAAAGGAAUUGACGGGGGCUCACACAAGCGGUGGAGCAUGUUGCUUAAUUCGAUGCAACGCGAAGAACCUUAUCCUGGGCUUGACAUGUAGGAAUACCUCCCUGGAAACAGGGCUGGUUGCCCUUCGGGGUGAAGCCUACACAGGUGCUGCAUGGCUGUCGUCAGCUCGUGUCGUGAGAUGUUGGGUUAAGUCCCGUAACGAGCGAAACCCUUGUCGUUAGUUGCCAACGCGUUAUGGCGGGGACUCUAGCGGGACUGCCGGUGUUAAACCGGAGGAAGGUGGGGAUGACGUCAAGUCCUCAUGGCCUUUAUGCCCAGGGCUGCAAACGUGCUACAAUGGCGUGUACAAACCGACGCAAGACCGCGAGGUGGAGCAAAUCGGAAAAAGCACGCCCCAGUUCGGAUUGGAGUCUGCAACUCGACUCCAUGAAGUCGGAAUCGCUAGUAAUCGCGGAUCAGCAUGCCGCGGUGAAUGUGUUCCUGAGCAUUGUACACACCGCCCGUCAAG